rnacentral:telomerase_RNA from 1 species
GCGGUUUUUGAGGAUGUCUUUUGUCCGCUUUUAAACGCCCUCCAGCUUCUGGUUUAUUUUAUUCCUAGUUUGGAGAGGAAACAAAAACUAGUC